rnacentral:tRNA from 2 species
GCAAGCAUUGGUGUAAUUGGUAACACACCCCGAGAAAAAGGAGGAGUUCCUGGUUCGAGUCCAGGGUGUUUGUUCCA